rnacentral:sRNA from 13 species
GCCGGGCGUGGUGGCUCACGCCUGUAAUCCCAGCACCUUGGGAGGCAGAGGCGGGUGGAUCACCUGAGGUCAGGAGUUCAAGACCAUCCUGGCCAACAUGGUGAAACCCUGUCUUAA